rnacentral:ncRNA from 1 species
GUCGCUACUACCGAUUGAAUGGUUUAGCAAGGUCCUCGAUUGGUGCCGACUUGGUGGCAACACUAGGUCGGAUACUGAAAAAGAGAUCAAACUUGAUCAUUUAGAGGAAGUAAAAGUCGUAACAAGGUUUCCGUAGGUGAACCUGCGGAAGGAUCAUUA